UACGUAGGGUCCAAGCGUUAAUCGGAAUUACUGGGCGUAAAGCGUGCGCAGGCGGUUAUGUAAGACAGAUGUGAAAUGCCCGGGCUUAACCUGGAACUGCAUUUGUGACUGCAUGGCUAGAGUUUGGCAGAGGGGGGUAGAAUUCCACGUGUAGCAGUGAAAUGCGUAGAUAUGUGGAGGAACACCGAUGGCGAAGGCAGCCCCCUGGGUCAAGACUGACGCUCAUGCA
rnacentral:rRNA from 1 species